rfam:Ictidomys tridecemlineatus contig018722, whole genome shotgun sequence.
GGGGUUGUGGCUCAGAGGUAGAGCGCUUGCCUAGCAUGCAUGGGACACUGGGUUCGAUCCUCAGCAACACAU